rnacentral:rRNA from 1 species
AUUAGAUGCGAGAAAAUACGUAGAUAAACCGGACGUUAAAAUAACGCCAGAGUGUCUAAAGUUAGACCCGAAGCCUGGUGAUUUUACCAUAGUCAGGAUUAUAAAAGUCCGAACGGGUUGUUGUAGCAAUAACAUCCGAAGAACUGUGGUAGGUGUAGUGAAAGACAACACUGACUUGGAUAGCUGGUUUUCUGCGAAACCUAUAAUAGUAGGAAAUUUAAGUAAAUAUAUCUUAGCAGGUACAGAAAUUAAUCUCAGACAAGGCAAUUUCGUCUUAUUUUGUACAAAUUGGGGGAUCAUAAAGAUUUUAUCAGUGAGUAUGCAGACUCGGAAUGGCAAAGAUAUAACUUGAAUUAUCAGACAUAGUAUGAUAAGGUAGUAUGUCAAAAGGGAAACAGCCCAGAACAAGAAUUAAGGUUCCUAAAUUAUAGUUAAGUGAAAUGAAGAAGGUCUUUAUUCAAGUCGACAAGGAGAUAGGCUUAGAAGCAGCCACAAUUUUAUGAUCUCGUAACAGAGCGCUUGUUAAGUUAUAAAGGCAUCAAUAAUAUAACGGAUCUAAACUAUAUACCGAAAUCUUGUCCAUAAAAUGUUAUAAUAAAUACGUAGCUGCUUCUUAUGCAUGCCAGUAAUAUAAUAAUUUUAUGGGGUAGCAGAACGUUGAGUUAAAUUAUGACUUUUAUUUUUUAAAUAAAACUAUAAUGAUCGAACUCAAGUGAUAAUGGUGACAUGAGUAACUAAAAGAAAAUUUAUUUUCCGCCUUAAGCUUAUGGCUAGAUUUAAGUAACGGCCUCUAAGUUUAGAUAUAAUCUAAAGAUUUAAACGAUGAGAAAAUCUUUUUUACUAAUGACGACAUUUUAAGUGAAAAAUGUACUGGAAAAAUAGUAAUAUAUUCGUUCAUAGCUGUAGCAUUAGUUACAGCUAGUAAACGGAUGAAAAAUAACCGUACCUAGAUACUGAAACAAGUAAGCAAGUAGAGUAUACGAAGGCGUGAUUGAGCUAACAAUCAUAAAGGAACUCGGCAAAUUGACUACUGUAACUUCGGAAUAAAGAGGGCUCAUUAUUCUUGAUUAAUAUCAAGUAAAGAGGAAGAAGCAUGGAAUAAUGUUGUACGACUGUUUAAUUAAAACACAGCACUUUGCUUAAAGAUAAAAAAAUCUAUGUAUAAAGUGUGAAAUCUGCCCGGUGCCGGCUGGUUAAUGAAGAUAAUUAAAUGAUCUAACAUUUGAUGUUGACAGAACCCCCGGUUAAAGGCGGCCUUAACGUGAGGGUCCUAAGGUAGCGAAAUGCCUUGGCCGUUAAAUGCGGUCUUGCAUGAAUGGUGUAACGAUACAACAGCUGUCUCUAUGAUUGACUCAGUGAAAUUGGAAUAGCUGUGCAGAUACAGCUUACCUCUAGUUAGACGAGAAGACCCUAUGCAGCUUUACUGUCACUAAUUAUAGAUUUUGAUGAACAAUUUUCAGACUAAAAGGGAAUUGAUUAAAUAUUCAUGAGAAACCUUUAUUUUUUUCUUCAUUUGAAUGAAUUGAUAUACCUACAAACGUUAGUAUAUCAUCCUAGUUCAGCCUAGUUUCUUAGUUUACUAAGAAAUAGGUACCCUUGGAGAGGAACUAUUGCUAGGGGACAGUUUAUGUGGGGCACAGACCCUGUAAAGAGUAAACAGGUGUGUCUAAUAAUUAUUUUUAUUUUGUUUGCUAUUUUUUUAUAAAUCGUAUUUACUUUGAUAUAACUGUAACAUAGUAUUUCGUAAGAAAACUAUAUGAUUAUAUUUAUAUCGAAAAUUUAGGUAAGAUUUUGACUAUACUGAAAUUAGAGAUAAUUUAAAAUUUUAUGUAAUUUUUUACUAAAGUUUUAUAGUUAUUUAAACUUACGUUUAAAUAAUUAUGUUUUUAAUAUCUAAAAAGCUCAACGGCUUAAUCUUGCCUUACUGUUUGAUUAUCGACAAAUCUUACAGUUGCGUAAGCAGGGCAUAGGAUCACAAGAUGCAAUAAGGAAAGAUCUUGGAUUAUUGGAAAAGCUACGCUAGGGAUAACAGGCUAAUUUGCGCAAGAGUGUACAAAAUGAGUGCGCGGUUUGGCACCUCGAUGUCGGCUUAACUUCUCCUCAUGGAUGCAGAAACUAUGUAGGGUGCGACUGUUCGUCGAUUAAAAAGUUACAUGAGCUGGGUUAAAUACGUCGUGAGACAGUAUGGU